rnacentral:misc_RNA from 1 species
GAUGAAGAACGCAGCGAAAUGCGAUAAGUAGUGUGAAUUGCAGAAUUCAGUGAAUCAUCGAAUCUUUGAACGCACAUUGCGCCCCUUGGUAUCCCGAGGGGCAUGCCUGUUCGAGCGUCAUUUCACCACUCAAGCCUGGCUUGGUGUUGGGCGACGUCCUCUUUGGGGACGCGCCUCGAAACGCUCGGCGGCGUGGCACCGGCUUUAAGCGUAGCAGAAUCUUUCGCUUUGGAAGUCGGGGCCCCGUCUGCCGGAAGACCUGCUCGCAAGGUUGACCUCGGAGCAGGCAGGGAUACACGCUGAACUUAAGCAUAUCAAUAAGCGGAGGA